rnacentral:rRNA from 1 species
GUCGAACGCUGGCGGCGUGCCUAAUACAUGCAAGUCGGACGCAGUUGCGAACGGGUGAGUAACGCGUAGGUAACUGCCUAUUAGAGGGGGACAACUAUUGGAAACGAUAACUAAUACCGCAUAAUAGUAGAUGGAUCUGAGUUGUAUUAUCUAGUAGGUAGGGUAAUGGCCUACCAAGGCAACGGUACAUAGCCGACCUGGAUAGGAUAUCGGUCCAACUGGGAACGAGAAAAGGCCCAGACUCCUACGGGAGGCAGCAGUAGGGAAUCUUCGGCAAUGGGGGGAACCCUGACUGAGGAAAUGCGCGGGAGGGAAGGAGGUUUUCGGAUCGUAAAGCUCUGUUGUUGAGGAAGCGGUACUUAACCAGUAAGUGACGGCUAACUACGUGCCAGCAGCCGCGGUAAUUC